rnacentral:rRNA from 1 species
GCGGCAGGCCUAACACAUGCAAGUCGAGCGGAAACGAGUUAUCUGAACCUUCGGGGAACGAUAACGGCGUCGAGCGGCGGACGGGUGAGUAAUGCCUAGGAAAUUGCCCUGAUGUGGGGGAUAACCAUUGGAAACGAUGGCUAAUACCGCAUGAUGCCUACGGGCCAAAGAGGGGGACCUUCGGGCCUCUCGCGUCAGGAUAUGCCUAGGUGGGAUUAGCUAGUUGGUGAGGUAAGGGCUCACCAAGGCGACGAUCCCUAGCUGGUCUGAGAGGAUGAUCAGCCACACUGGAACUGAGACACGGUCCAGACUCCUACGGGAGGCAGCAGUGGGGAAUAUUGCACAAUGGGCGCAAGCCUGAUGCAGCCAUGCCGCGUGUGUGAAGAAGGCCUUCGGGUUGUAAAGCACUUUCAGUCGUGAGGAAGGUAGUGUAGUUAAUAGCUGCAUUAUUUGACGUUAGCGACAGAAGAAGCACCGGCUAACUCCGUGCCA